rnacentral:sRNA from 1 species
AACUUAUUAACAGAAACAGAGAUAGGGAUGCAUGCAAGUGGAAGGCAAGAUGAAGAUCAACUAGCUAAGGUCCUUGGUUGCCAUGGUGAUAAUGGUAAGUAUCAAUAGUGUGAUGUAACCUGACCGCUUUCAUCAAUAAUUAAGGUUAUGCAUGGAUAAAUAGAUAAAUUGAAAGCAUUGGAAGGCUGACCAGGGCACAAAUAGGAAACUCAGAAAGUCUGUGUGAAGCCUCUCGAAAGUCGCUGCCUCCCCUGAAAAUGUUCCGUAGAGGUGAGGCUCGACCUAGGGUCUGAGCAUUAUGACAUCAGUGUCUGUCUUGCUAUGGAUCCCUAGGGAUUGCUGGCCAGCCAGUAUAGCUGAAAUGGAGAAUGGUGGGUUCAGUCGGAGAUCCUGUCUCAAAAACUAAGGUGAAGAGGGUAGAGGAAGAGCAGAUCCUUAAGACAUGAAGUGGAAACAUUUGGGCAAACACAGCGAGGCUAAGGCCUUUGAACAUCAACAGCAUCUCAAUCAGUAAUGACAAUGCAGGAAAGGUCUAGCAGAUAAUGGAUCGACUCUUCCCAGGGAUGAUGCCUGACAGACUUGAUAGACACAAGGCAGCCAGCGAACCUGCGUAAUGAUGGUUUCUGUGGAGAGAGAGGACUCCAGAUGCUUCCCAGAAGUGUGAGGAAUUAAUCUGCUGCCCUUAAAUGACCUCCGUGGAACCCUGCAGAAUCACCAUAAGCUGUGUACCCAUGCCACCUCUAGGGCCCCAGGACAGAGGCUCACACCGUAAGGCGUUGUCUGGCCAAAGAUGCUGACAAGGUGAAGUUUGAGAAAUGUUGCUUUAAUAGAAUUCCUUCAGUCUGCAGACUCCACACCCAUCCGCUCCAAACGGUGCUCUGUUACUGCCUCUCAGGUAGUCUCCACUUCAGCUUAGCCGAGUGCCUGGCUGGUGUAGGAUACAGGAAGAGGGGAAAGGGUACCGUCAGCAUCUGUUGCAAUAACCUGUCACGGCCAGCAGAGGAGCUGAGGCAGCAGAACAUGAUGGGAGGAAUUUCUGUGCCAAAGAUGGGCCCCUUCAUCAGAAGCCAGGAACUCAACGGGAAUUAAAAGCAUGAUGUAAAAAGAAAUUGCUUUCUGGCUCCAGUUUCUACACUCUGGAGAGAGGAGACCAUGGAAGGACUAGGGGGUAAGCCUGAGUGGCCAGAGAAUCCUCUGGGAUUGGGGCAGGAGAAUCUGUCCACAUGCUCUCCCACAGGUUAAAGGAAAACAGGCAGGAACUCAGGGCUGGUUCUGCUUGCUUCCUUCUCCUCUGGGCCUCCUUCUCCAACCCAUAAGCCUCGUAACCAG